rnacentral:piRNA from 1 species
AAAAGAAUGACCCCAGUUACAGC